AAUAGAUACCCUGGUAGUCCCAGCCGCAAACGAUGCUCGCUAGGUGUCAGGCAUGGCGCGACCGUGUCUGGUGCCGCAGGGAAGCCGUGAAGCGAGCCACCUGGGAAGUACGGCCGCAAGGCUGAAACUUAAAGGAAUUGGCGGGGGAGCACAACAACGGGUGGAGCCUGCGGUUUAAUUGGACUCAACGCCGGACAACUCACCGGGGGCGACAGCAAUAUGUAGGCCAAGCUGAAGACUUUGCCUGAAUCGCUGAGAGGAGGUGCAUGGCCGUCGCCAGUUCGUACUGUGAAGCAUCCUGUUAAGUCAGGCAACGAGCGAGACCCGUGCCCACUGUUACCAGCAUGUCCUCCGGGACGAUGGGUACUCUGUGGGGACCGCCGAUGUUAAAUCGGAGGAAGGUGCGGGCCACGGUAGGUCAGUAUGCCCCGAAUCUCCCGGGCUACGACGCGGGCUACAAUGGAUGGGACAAUGGGUCCCUCCCCUGAAAAGGGCUGGUAAUCUCACAAACCCAUUCGUAGUUCGGAUCGAGGGG
rnacentral:rRNA from 1 species